UAGUUAUUAAGGUGCAACAUUUAUAUUCGAAACAGGUCAGGAUUGGAAAAUAGCAGCCUUAAGAAUCAAUGAAUGUGUGCACCUUUUAUAUUAGGUGAU
rnacentral:SRP_RNA from 1 species